rnacentral:lncRNA from 1 species
GGCCCGGAGAGCGGACUGCAGAGUCGCCAUCUUGUACUCGGCUCGACCCGGUCUGGUGCUGGGCAACUGGGGGCCGAGGGUAGGGGGCUGGAAGGGAGGCGCGGGCGCGAGCGAGGCGCGCUGCCUAUGGCGCGCGCGCUCUCAUGGCCCAGCGCGGUACCCCCCAACUGCUCGCCCCGGGCUCUGCAAGCCUCUGGGCCAGGUCCCGCCACGGAGACUGCCGGGCCAGCCCUGACUCGCGAGGGGGCGGAGCUGCCGGCGGCCGC